UAAACCAGGACAGAAAUUCACUUUUUAUUACAGUAAUUAUUUGUUGUGAAGUUUUUAGGUUCGUAAACAAAUAAGAUUGGAAGAAAGUGCAGAAAGUUGUCUAUGGUCCAAGUUUAGUUUUUUGUUGUUUCGAAUGAAAUGUCAAUGUCAAUGAACCGAAACCCGACUGACGUAGAACGUAAAUUAUUUUGGGUCUAUAAAAAUCUUGCGGUUUUAUAGAAUAGAAUAGAAGAAAUUUAUUCAGAAAACGCUUAAGUUUAGAUGGAUCUCUUUUGUAUGGCGCGAAUAGAAAGAAGUGGGCAUAUAACGAAAUUAAAUUACAACCAGUUAAAAAUGGAGUAUUGUAAAUAACUAUUCCUGUUAAUAAAUUUGUUACAUAUG